GCACCUGUAGCUUAAUUGGUAAAGCAGAGACCUCUAAAGUCUUGUAGUGUCGGUUCGAUCCCGACCAGGUUGC
rnacentral:tRNA from 1 species